UGGGGAAUUUUGGACAAUGGGCGAAGCCUGAUCCAGCAAUGCCGCGUGUGUGAAGAAGGCCUUCGGGUUGUAAAGCACUUUUGUCCGGAAAGAAAUCCUUGGCUCUAAUACAGUCGGGGGAUGACGGUACCGGAAGAAUAAGCACCGGCUAACUACGUGCCAGCAGCCGCGGUAAUACGUAGGGUGCAAGCGUUAAUCGGAAUUACUGGGCGUAAAGCGUGCGCAGGCGGUUUGCUAAGACCGAUGUGAAAUCCCCGGGCUCAACCUGGGAACUGCAUUGGUGACUGGCAGGCUAGAGUAUGGCAGAGGGGGGUAGAAUUCCACGUGUAGCAGUGAAAUGCGUAGAGAUGUGGAGGAAUACCGAUGGCGAAGGCAGCCCCCUGGGCCAAAUACUGACGCUCAUGCACGAAAGCGUGGGGAGCAAACAGGAUUAGAUACCCUGGUAGUCCACGCCCUAAACGAUGUCAACUAGUUGUUGGGGACUUCAUUUCCUUAGUAACGCAGCUAACGCGUGAAGUUGACCGCCUGGGGAGUACGGUCGCAAGAUUAAAACUUAAAUGAAUUGACGGGGU
rnacentral:rRNA from 1 species